GGGGGAAGCGCCCAGCGCGUUCUUCACCGCCGCUUCAAGCGAGCGGGGAGGGGGAGUCGCGCUCCCCUCCGCCGGGAGGCGGGUGGUGCGCGCCGGCCUGGAGGCUCGGCUUCAUAGUUCACCACCCCCUUGUGCGGGUUGGUAUGUGCCGCUGGAGAUGGCCCCCGCCGUGGGCGUGCGGUGGGCUGGCACAGGUGGCAGACGGGGCUGGGUGUGCUCAAUUGCUGGAGGUAUAGUCCAAGCAGAUCUUGCUCCAUUCGGACACCGAUCCCAAAUAUGCGCAGCUGGGAUCUCAUCACUCACAACUGAGGAAAAGAUGCCGUCCUGAUCUCACAGAGCGGAGGAGGACAAGGGGUGCCUUCUGUUGCCUCUUGGGCUCCUGGUGCCUGAGGACUGCGUCUGCAGAGCUUUGGAGCUGGACUGAGAACUUAGAGUACACCCCUUGGACCGGACCACAGACCCCCUCUCUCAUACUAAAUUGAAAGAAUAGAAUCCGGAGAGCUGUCUUGGCAUCUAGCAGAGAUCUGAAUGCUCAAGAAAUGGUUUGAAUAAUGUAUUGCUGCUUUCCUGACUGAUGUCCUUAAUAUCAACUUCCCUCCUCUCAAGCACAUUGGAGUGACUCUUUAAAUAUUAUAUUGCACGACCAAGUCUAUCAGGGCACAAUAUCCUGGCUGGGAGCCAGAAGAUCCUUUCAGCUGCCCCGUUGAGUCACUGCAGCAUCUCGGCGCGGCUGCUUGACCUCCCUCCUGCUCCCCCAUUUGUGCAACAGGGCAGUAACAGUACCCAGUGACCCCGUGCAGCAAUUUGGGAUACUGAGAUGAGAAGCGUUAAGUGUCAAUAUUAACCUUUCACUACCUGGUGCUGUUGGUUUCAAUGUUUUUCUUGUAUACAGGGCAGAAUUCUCUAAGAACUGAACUUUUUGCGGAUCUGUAUGUCACAGCAAUGGUGGUUAUCGGUGUGCCCAUGAACUAAUUUAGGGAGACUUGCUUUUUGCAGCACGCAGGACCAGGGAGACAGAGGUCGGGACUUGCAGCCACCCCACCUGCGAGUACCCACUGCAGCCAGAGUUCUCACUAAUCAUGUUUUAACAUUUCACAAGCUUCACUACACUCUACUAAGGAACCUUCCUUCUAGAGGCUGUGUUUUGCUAUCACACGGGAAUCAUCUCUGCUUUGUUUGUUUCCAGAUGCUCCUGAUAACGUGGUAUGUAUUAAUAUGCAGUGCCCUACAACUCUCUAUAUAGCCUUGUGUCUUCAUGGUCUCUCGGUGCCAGGCAGCUGUUACUGUUAAGUUAUUCUUGUAAAUGGCUUCACAUAUAAAUAAAUCUAACAAAGUAAACAAUAAAGAUAUAAAAUAACCUAGGAGCAGAUAUCAGGGUAUAAAGUAACCUAAGAGAAAAUAUUAGGAUAUAAAAUAAUCCAGGCCCUAACCCCUUUAUAUCUGGAUCUGAGCAGCGCAGAGCAACGUACCCUGGGUAACUGUUGUGUUGCCAUCGGCUGGUGUAACGGGAUGCCAGCUUACAUCAGCCGGGGAUACCCUCUUGGGAAAGUAACUCCGGGUCAGAGGGUUUUUUAUUUCUAGGACUUCCAAGCCUGGGAUUGAUUAUUUUAAUGGUUGAGUCAAAAUCACUUUGACAAGUGCUCAGGGAUGAGUUGACCCUCUUGUGUGUGA